rnacentral:rRNA from 1 species
AGAUGGCGACCGGCGCACGGGUGAGUAACACGUAUCCAACCUGCCGAUAACUCGGGGAUAGCCUUCGAAAGAAAGAUUAAUACCCGAUGGCAUAAUUAGACCGCAUGGUCUUAUUAUUAAAGAAUUUCGGUUAUCGAUGGGGAUGCGUUCCAUUAGGCAGUUGGUGAGGUAACGGCUCACCAAACCUUCGAUGGAUAGGGGUUCUGAGAGGAAGGUCCCCCACAUUGGAACUGAGACACGGUCCAA